GGUCAAACGGUGAGCUGUUCAGCACAGUGCCUUCCCCUUCAACAUAAAAGACUUAAAGAAGAAAUCGAAGCCACAUUUCCAGGUCUGGAGGGUCAAUGGCAACACAAUUUAUUUGAUCUUCGUCCACUAGACUUAAUUUUAGACUUUUACGUAGUUGUUCUUAUAAAACAGAUCCUACAGAGCAAGGACUCACCAAGCAACCUCAGGAUGUCUCAUGAAUUUUUAUUCAUGUUUUUGUUCAGAAGUAGAGAGGAAACACGAGUGAGAACGCAGCUCCAAGCCCAGAAGCACGUGAAGUGAGGUUGCAGUGGUACCUCUGGAACGAACAGCCCAGCAGUACUCUCUGUCUCGGUGCCGUCUGCUGCAGAAAUGCUAAGUUGACAUUUCUGCGCGCGUAAGACGUCAACUGAAAUGACCGAUACGUUCUGACAGGCGGCCGGUGGCCAGAGCAUGUGGUAGAGUUAUCCAAGAAAGGAGACACGGGGUAAGCACUGCUGGAUGUGUUCUACUUAAGUUUCUGUACGUGCGCUGAAACCCCCCCCUUGCGCGUGGCGUUGCGGUGGCGAUGUUUGCCCACCAGGGGGCGGUGGCGCUCCAGAUGAACCAAACGCGGCGGGCUGCAAACGCAGGCGUCGUUCCAUCGGCGUUAGAUCGCCCCGCUGCCAGCGCCUGCGUUUGCCCCUUUGCAGAGCAAAAGAAAAUAAAUUAGUAUUCUAACACCGCCUAAAAAUAUCCUUCCAGCGGUCGGCUAAAGAGCACAUUCAGACAAAUACGCAUUUAGACACUGCUUCAGUGCGGUCCUCCGGCUACUUCCGUGCGAGUGGCUGUGAGAGCACCACGCAAUGCGCUCCAGCGGGCUUUCACGAGCACUGAAUUCCCCGUAGCGCCGUUGAAGGGGUCUGCGCUAUCGCCGCAUUCUCUAUGGUGAUGGCCCACUAAUCUUCCCGAUGCCGAAGUAAGAAGUACACAUCAUAGGUGUACUUCUGUCUUUUUAACGUCCGCUGUGAGUUCUUGCAGGAAUUGAGCAGCUGCAUGGCGUACCCUGGGAACAGAGGUCUCACCGUGGGCUGGCAGAGCAUCAGUUUCAGUGCAAGUGUUUAUAUAAACCAUUUCAGCCCCUAAACAUUCCCAGCCAGCCCCACAGGC
ensembl:lncRNA